rnacentral:rRNA from 1 species
ACGGAGGGUGCGAGCGUUAUCCGGAAUUAUUGGGUUUAAAGGGUCCGUAGGCGGUCUAUUAAGUCAGAGGUGAAAUCUUGUAGCUCAACUAUAAAAUUGCCUUUGAAACUAAUAGACUUGAAACAAUUUGACGUGAGUGGAAUGAGUAGUGUAGCGGUGAAAUGCAUAGAUAUUACUCAGAACACCGAUAGCGAAGGCAGCUCACGAAGAUUGAUUUGACGCUGAUGGACGAAAGCGUGGGGAGCGAACAGG